AGCCUUAUUUGUGAAAAGUGGUCACUAUUUUUUGCAGGUGGUUAUUCAUUUCGUCUGGUGUUGUUGUUUCAUUGGCCACGUAUUUAAAUUGUAUAGAGUUACCAAUAUUUAUCAAACAUAUCCCUGUCACAUUCAGUAAGUAUCUGCCUGUAAUUCAAUGGUUGUUGCUGUGUUGCAUGAUUGAUUUUUCGUUUCUUUUUGGGUACAUUAAUCAGGUCGUUCCUUUUU
rnacentral:lncRNA from 1 species